rnacentral:rRNA from 1 species
AUGAACGCUGGCGGCGUGCCUUAGGCAUGCAGGUCGAGCGGUACCUUAAUCGCAAGAUUAAGGUACAGCGGCAGACGGGUGAGUAAUAGUAAGGAAUCUAUCCCAAAGUGAAGGACAUCUCGUCGAAAGACGGGGUAAUCCUGCAUACGAUCGUAAGAUUAAAGGGCAUAACUGCCCGCUAUGGGAGGAGCCUUACUCCUAUCAGCUAGUUGGUGGGGUAAUGGCCUACCAAGGCUACGACGGGUAACUGGUGUGAGAGCACGACCAGUCACAAUGGCACUGAGAUACGGGCCAUACACCUACGGGUGGCAGCAACCGGGAAUUGUCGACAAUGGACGAAAGUCUGAUCGCGCGACGCCGCGUGAGGGAUGAAGCCUUUCGGGGUGUAAACCUCUUUUGAUCCGCCAUCGCGGCGGAUAGAAUAAGCAUCUACUAACUACGU